UAGGGAAUCUUCCACAAUGGGCGAAAGCCUGAUGGAGCAACGCCGCGUGUGUGAUGAAGGCUUUCGGGUCGUAAAGCACUGUUGUAUGGGAAGAACAGCUAGAAUAGGAAAUGAUUUUAGUUUGACGGUACCAUACCAGAAAGGGACGGCUAAAUACGUGCCAA
rnacentral:rRNA from 1 species